ensembl:snRNA U4 U4 spliceosomal RNA
AGCUUUGUGCAGUGGCAGUAUUGUAGCCAAUGAGGUUUAUCCAAGGUGCAAUUAUUGCUAACUGAAAAAGUGAUAGCUUAAAAUUUAAAACCAAAAUACGUAGUUGAAAUUUACAUGGAAAAAUUGAGAUAAAU